rnacentral:tRNA from 1 species
GUCUCAGUGGCGUAGUGGUUAACGCAUGGCCCAGGUUAGACGCGCGAGACGCAGGUUCGAAUCCCGUCUGAGAUG